UGGGGAAUUUUGCACAAUGGGGGAAACCCUGAUGCAGCGACGCCGCGUGAUUUAGAAGGCCUUCGGGUUGUAAAAAUCUUUUCUAUGGGAAGAAAAUGACAGUACCAUAGGAAUAAGGACCGGCUAAUUACGUGCCAGCAGCCGCGGUAAUACGUAAGGUCCGAGCGUUGUCCGGAAUCAUUGGGCGUAAAGGGUACGUAGGCGGGUAAGCAAGUUAGAAGUUAAAUCCUAUAGCUCAACUAUAGUAAGCUUUUAAAACUGCUCAUCUUGAGGUAUGGAAGGGAAAGUGGAAUUCCUGGUGUAGCGGUGAAAUGCGCAGAUAUUAGGAGGAAUACAGGUGGCGAAGGCGACUUUCUGGCCAUACCCUGACGCUGAGGUACGAAAGCGUGGGUAGCACACAGG
rnacentral:rRNA from 1 species